AUCAGGAUCACACAACAAUAAUGAAUGGAAACACGUCGUAGCCAAGAAAGUUGAGCAGCGAGCGAAGCAAAUUGUUGGUGGCUUUUCGAAUGUUGCGGGAGGAAAUCUGCUGUGGGUAAUGGGUCGGCCGGGCAGAGGACAGGCGACGCUGUGCAACAGAGAGCUGCUCCACUUUUAUUGUUACUUUUGAAAGUAAGUUGAGACGGGCGCCUACAGUGGACUUCACUGUAAAACUAAACGCGUGAGUGUAAAUGGCAUUUGGGGAAAGUAAGACGAGCCCGCUGCGCCGUCACCUCCUGAUCUCGACUCGGAGAAGUGGAUUAUUAGGCUGUUGAUGAAACUCUUGGAAUACUCGGGAGAUUCUUUUUUGCCAUUUUCUCGCGGAUUAUCAUCAUUUGGAGGAGCUGAAGGGUCGCCAGAUUCCUAGCCGAGCACAGGCGCGCUGCCGUGGGGGAAAAUGGGAAAUCUCGAGAGCGUGGACGGACAGUCGGAAACGAAGCAUCACAUCAUGCCCCUGAAGGUGCCCAUGCCCGACCCCACCGAGCUGGAGGAGAAGUUUGCCAUUGUGUUGAAUUCUAUGAACCUGCCUCCAGACAAAGCCCGGCUCCUCAGACAGUACGACAACGAGAAGAAGUGGGACCUGAUCUGCGACCAGGAGCGGUUUCAGGUCAAGAACCCGCCUCAUACCUACAUCCAGAAGCUGCGAGGCUACUUAGACCCUGGAGUCACGCGAAAGAAGUUUCGCCGGCGGGUGCAGGAGUCCACGAAGGUCCUGAGGGAGCUGGAGAUAUCGCUGAGGACAAACCACAUCGGGUGGGUGAGGGAGUUCCUAAAUGACGAGAACAGAGGCCUCGAUGUGCUGGUGGAGUAUCUGUCCUUUGCCCAGUGUGCAGUCAUGUUGGAUUUUGAGGGGCUGGAGAAUGGGGAGGAUGGCUUCUUGGACAAGGCAAAAUCUUGGAGCAGGUCUAUAGAGGAUCUGCACCAUGCAAGUACCCAACCCUUCUGCAACACACUGGUGCGCUCUGCCCGUCAGUCUGUGCUCCGCUACGGCUCAGUCUCAAACAGCAAAACCAUCAAGAACUCCCGCCUCGUGAGCCAAAAAGACGAUGUGCACGUGUGCAUCAUGUGCUUGAGAGCGAUUAUGAACUACCAGUACGGCUUCAACAUGGUCAUGUCUCAUGCACAUGCCGUCAAUGAAAUAGCCCUCAGCUUGAACAAUAAGAAUCCACGGACGAAAGCGUUGGUCCUUGAGCUGCUGGCUGCCGUCUGUCUAGUCAGAGGAGGCCACGAGAUCAUCCUGUCAGCGUUUGACAACUUCAAAGAGGUGUGUAAGGAGAAGCAUCGCUUUGAGAGACUGAUGGACUACUUCCGCAGUGAGGAGGGAAAUAUCGACUUCAUGGUUGCCUGCAUGCAGUUCAUCAACAUCGUGGUCCACUCGGUCGAGGACAUGAACUUCCGAGUCCACCUCCAGUUUGAAUUCACCAAGCUGGGACUCGACGACUACCUGGAGAAAUGCAAGCACACGGAGAGCGACAAGCUGUCCGUGCAGAUCCAGGCCUACCUGGACAACGUGUUUGACGUGGGCGGUCUGCUGGAGGACGCCGAGACCAAAAACGCAGCGCUGGAGAAGGUGGAGGAGCUGGAGGAGCACCUGUCCCAUGUGACGGAGAAGCUGCUGGAGGUGGAGAAUGAGACGAUGAUGAAAGUUGCGGAUCUGGAGAAGCUGCUGCUUCAGAAGGACAAAGACCUGCAAAUAAUACGGGAGACGUAUGAGUCCACCAACACCCAGGUGCACACCCUGCGGAGGAUGAUCAAGGAGAAGGACGCCGCCUUCCAGCGGCACUUCAACAUCGAGCGGCGGCUGCUGGAGCUGGAGCAGCAGGGCACCAUUCGCCUGCACAAGAGGCCGGACGGAGACAUCGCCAUCGAGCCGCUGGGCGGCGUGGGGGGCGGGGCCCUCGGGCCCCCGCUGGGCGACGCCGGCCCGCUGGCGCUGGGCCCGAGCGCGGCGCUGCCGCCGCCAGACGCCGGUUUACCGCCGCCCAGCGAGGCGCCUCCUCCGCCUCCUCCACCGCCGCCGCCACCCCCUCCACCCCCCCCUCUGCCAUCGGCCUCAGGGCUGAGUGCACCAGUCCCACCACCAGCACCUCCUCUGGCGCCGCCUCUGCCUGAAGCUUCUCCCUCAGUUAUCCUGAGUCUGGGUCUGUCAGCCAUCAGAAUAAAGAAGCCCAUUAAGACCAAGUUCCGCCUGCCCGUGUUUAACUGGACGGCCUUGAAGCCCAACCAGAUCAACGGCACCGUGUUCAACGAGAUCGACGACGAACGCGUGCUCCAGGAGCUCGAUCUGGAGAGGUUCGAGGAGCUCUUCAAGACCAGAGCCCAGGGUCCGGUCGUGGACCUGGCGUGCACCAAGAGCAAGGUGUCUCAGAAGGCCGCGAACAAGGUGACGCUCCUGGACGCCAACCGCUCCAAGAACCUCGCCAUCACGCUGCGCAAGGCCAACAAGACCACGGAGGAGAUCUGCAGGGCUAUAGAGAAGUUCGACCUCAAGGCUCUGCCCGUGGACUUCGUGGAGUGCCUGAUGCGCUUCCUGCCCACGGAGGCCGAGGUCAAGGCGCUGCGGCAGUACGAGCGCGAGCGGCGGCCGCCGGAGCAGCUGGCCGAGGAGGACCGCUUCAUGCUGCUCUUCAGCAAGAUCGAGAGGCUCACGCAGCGGAUGAACAUCAUCACCUUCGUGGGGAACUUCGCCGACAACGUCAGCAUGCUCACGCCGCAGCUCAACGCCAUCAUCGCCGCCUCGGCCUCCGUCAAGUCGUCGCCGAAGCUGAAGCGGAUGCUGGAGAUCAUCUUGGCUUUGGGCAACUACAUGAACAGCAGCAAGCGAGGCUGCGUCUACGGCUUCAAAUUACAAAGUCUGGAUCUUCUGCUCGACACUAAGUCCACAGACAGAAAGAUGACGCUGCUCCACUACAUAGCUCUUAUUGUGAAGGAGAAAUACUCCGAACUGGCCAACUUCUUCAAUGAAUUGCACUUUGUGGACAAAGCUGCAGCAGUAUCUCUGGAAAAUGUGCUGCUGGACGUUCGGGAGCUGGGCAAAGGCAUGGACCUGAUCCGGAGGGAGUGCAGUCUACACGACCACGUGGUCCUGAAGGACUUUGUCCAGGCCACAGACGCGCAGCUGGACAAACUGCAGAAGGACGCCAAGACAGCGGAGGAAGCCUUCAACAACGUGGUGAACUACUUUGGAGAGAGUCCCAAGACGACCCCGCCCUCGGUCUUCUUCCCUGUGUUUGUGCGCUUCAUCAAAGCCUACAAGGAUGCGGUGGAUGAGAACGAGCAGAGGAAGAAGCAGGAGCAAGCGAUGAGAGAAAAGCUACUGGCUCAGGAGGCCAAACAGCACGACCCCAAGGUCCAGGCCCAGAAGAAGCGGCAGCAGCAGCACGAGCUGAUCGCAGAGCUGCGCAGGCGACAGGCCAAGGACCACCGGCCCGUGUACGAGGGCAAGGAUGGCACCAUAGAGGACAUCAUCACAGUCCUGAAGAGCGUGCCCUUCACAGCCCGCACGGCUAAACGCGGCUCACGGUUCUUCUGUGACGCCAACCUCUGCGACGACGCCAACUGCUAGCCCUCCUCCUCCUCCUCCUCCCCCCCUCCCUCCAACGCCAAGCUGAGAAGAAGAUUAAUGACAGUAUUUCCCACUCCUAAGCGAGGAUCUCCGAAGCCAGCCUUUCCUGCGAGCUGACGCGUUGAUCCGAAGCGGGUGGAAGAGACCCUAAACCACUUGUUUGUCUCUUACGCUCCUCUCCCCAUCAUAACCUUCCUCCCUGUGUCCCGAUGGCCAACUCAACCCUGAGGCUUCAGAUCACAAAGACUGAUGAAAGGGGGAGGACAGGACAGAGCCCUUGUCUUAGCUGGGUAAUUUAUUUAUUUAUGGAGGCCCUUUACAGCCACUUAAAGUGAACGGGCGUCAUUACAGAAGCACAAAGGGUCGUGCCUCUCUCACUGCAACCAUGUGGCCAGACCCAUUGGAGGACCACUACGGAGCCACAGGUGAAGGGAUAUGAGGAACAACCAAUGCAGGACCAACAGUGUUUCACUAACUAGCGCCUGCUAACAUAAGGCUCUCGGUCCAGAGCCUGUUGAUGGACAUCAUCCACAGGAGGACGUCAACUCUGCUGCUGGGAUGUUCGCCUUUCAGAUGCAAAAUCUUCCUCCGAGUACAAAAAAGCUUCAAUAAGCCAAUUAAUUAAUUUAAUUAGGACUUAAUAUUGUUGUUUUAUAUUUUUGUCUCUGGAUGGAAGGAUGAUCUGAGCUAGUCAAGCCAAACCAAAACAAACAACAGUGCCUUUUUAUGUAACAGUGUUAUCUCUCAGCCAUCAUUAGUUUUGUUUUACAUCUCAACCCUUUGUUGAAGAUAGCAUUUUUAUUGCUUUGUACUAAAACAUUAGCGUUUCAGUACUGAUGACGUACGGAUUGAAGAAGUUAACAUUUCCAGCUUUGAAGGUGUAAACAACUGGAGGAGAGAGGACCUUUAAGGACUGCUAAUCUCUUAUUUAUAUCUCUAGCACAUCAUAAACGUUGACAUGAGUCGUCAUGUCCCUGUGCCUUGUUACUAACUGAAUGUUAGACGCCUCAACGACACUUUCUGUCACACUGCACGUGACAUUUGUGAAGUGACAAACGUUUGAAGGUUCCACGUGGACUGCUCUUUAGGGGCUUAGAUGAUGCUAAAACUUUGGUGAUGGAUGAAGGACAUUCCUAUGAGAUCUUGUGUUCAUUGUUUUUAUUUUUUACAUCCUCAGAAAAGGUUGAAUUUGUCUCCACCUAAUGGUUGAGGCUGUGUUCUAAUAUGACGUUGACAUAAAGGGAGCAUAAAUUUACACUACUUCAUUUGGCUUAACAUUUUAUGAAACACUAUUCUUUAAGUGGACAUAUAUAUUAUUGUACACUGACAUCAUUUACUUUUUGGAAAAAUGAUAUUGACUGAAAAAUGACACUUCUGAUUAAUAAAUAAGAUGAACUGAUA